rnacentral:tRNA from 1 species
GCGGUUUUGGCUCAGAGGUAGAGUACUCACCUGUCACACACGAGGAACUGGGUUCAAUCCUCAAUACCACA